ensembl:snoRNA
UGGACCAAUGAUGAGCAGUGGUGGUGUAUGAUUCAUGGAUCAUGACUAAAAGUCUUGAGUCUGAGGUCCAC